rnacentral:rRNA from 1 species
GGGCUAGUGUUGUUCGGAUUUACUGGGCGUAAAGGGCACGUAGGCGGAUCGUUAAGUCGGGGGUGAAAUCCUGGAGCUCAACUCCAGAACUGCCUUCGAUACUGGCGAUCUUGAGUCCGGAAGAGGUGAGUGGAACUCCUAGUGUAGAGGUGGAAUUCGUAGAUAUUAGGAAGAACACCAGUGGCGAAGGCGGCUCACUGGUCCGGUACUGACGCUGAGGUGCGAAAGCGUGGGGAGCAAACAGG